UCUAGAUUGAAUGGCCGGAUUUGUGGAGAUUUGGGAGCAAUAAUGCUCAAUAAUUCAUCAAUAAUGCACUAAAUGGACAAAAAGGGCAUUUUAGUCAUUUCCACACUAAUAAUUGGUUUCUUCCUUUAAUAAUGCACAAGGGUAGUUUAGACUUCUCAUGUCUACCAUGAAGGGCAUUAUAGACAUUACCCAUAACCAUUAGGGUUUAUCACUUUAGAUUUUAAAAUUCCAUAAAUAAUAUAACUAAUAAUACACUAAAAGGGUAUUUUGGUAAUUUCACAUAUAAUUUCAUGGGCAUUUUUGUACAUAGCAAUUAAAUGUAGUAUUUAAUCACUAGAUGGUAAUUCUUAUCAUUUACCAAU
rnacentral:lncRNA from 1 species